rnacentral:rRNA from 1 species
AAGGGCGCACGGUGGAUGCCUUGACACUAGGAGUCGAUGAAGGACGGGACUAACGCCGAUAUGCUUCGGGGAGCUGUAAGUAAGCUUUGAUCCGAAGAUUUCCGAAUGGGGAAACCCACCAUACGUAAUGGUAUGGUAUCCUUAUCUGAAUACAUAGGGUAAGGAAGACAGACCCAGGGAACUGAAACAUCUAAGUACCUGGAGGAAGAGAAAGCAAAUGCGAUUUCCUGAGUAGCGGCGAGCGAAACGGAACAUAGCCCAAACCAAGAGGCUUGCCUCUUGGGGUUGUAGGACAUUCUAUACGGAGUUACAAAGGAACGAGGUAGACGAAGCGACCUGGAAAGGUCCGUCGUAGAGGGUAACAACCCCGUAGUCGAAACUUCGUUCUCUCUUGAAUGUAUCCUGAGUACGGCGGAACACGUGAAAUUCCGUCGGAAUCUGGGAGGACCAUCUCCCAAGGCUAAAUACUCCCUAGUGAUCGAUAGUGAACCAGUACCGUGAGGGAAAGGUGAAAAGCACCCCGGAAGGGGAGUGAAAGAGAUCCUGAAACCGUGUGCCUACAAAUAGUCAGAGCCCGUUAACGGGUGAUGGCGUGCCUUUUGUAGAAUGAACCGGCGAGUUACGAUCCCGUGCGAGGUUAAGCUGAAGAGGCGGAGCCGCAGCGAAAGCGAGUCUGAAUAGGGCGUUUAGUACGUGGUCGUAGACCCGAAACCAGGUGAUCUACCCAUGUCCAGGGUGAAGUUCAGGUAACACUGAAUGGAGGCCCGAACCCACGCACGUUGAAAAGUGCGGGGAUGAGGUGUGGGUAGCGGAGAAAUUCCAAUCGAACCUGGAGAUAGCUGGUUCUCCCCGAAAUAGCUUUAGGGCUAGCCUUAAGUGUAAGAGUCUUGGAGGUAGAGCACUGAUUGGACUAGGGGUCCUCAUCGGAUUACCGAAUUCAGUCAAACUCCGAAUGCCAAUGACUUAUCCUUAGGAGUCAGACUGCGAGUGAUAAGAUCCGUAGUCAAAAGGGAAACAGCCCAGACCGCCAGCUAAGGUCCCAAAGUGUGUAUUAAGUGGAAAAGGAUGUGGAGUUGCUUAGACAACUAGGAUGUUGGCUUAGAAGCAGCCACCAUUUAAAGAGUGCGUAAUAGCUCACUAGUCGAGUGACUCUGCGCCGAAAAUGUACCGGGGCUAAAUACACCA